AAGCUUCCAAACCUGGUCGGCACACUCUUAAUUUUAUCCUGUGCUCCUGAAGUUAUGAUCUUUGUGUUUUACCCACAAUUAAUGCCUGAUAUAAAAUCUGGCUGAGCUGGGAGGAGAGAGAAGUUCAGUGACACUGUGGUAUCAAACUCCCAGCUCCACCCGCAUCCUGUGCACCCAGGACCGCUCUGGUUCUCUUUUCUCCGAGGACGUACGCUUUCCUUGCCUGAUGUAGUGCUAGAGUUUGCAGGUUGGGGUCUCUGUUCUUCUCUUGUUUGGGAGUCAGUCCUAGAAGCUAACCUUCAGCUAUAACCUGCUGUUGUUCUUGCAGUCAGGAUGAUCCUUGACAUGCCUGAUUCCAGAGGAGUCACUGAGAGAAGGUUUCUUAAAGGAACUUUGUUACACCGGGGUCUUCUCCCUUCAAUUAAAGGUAAUCUCUGUCAUCAGAAAGCAAAGAUAAUUUCCAGAUAAUUACAAGAACAAGAACGCUAAAAGGAAAAUCUGCUGGGAUGAUUUGAGGUCAGCAUUUGGUGCUCAUCCAUGGACUUGUCUCCUGUCGUGUUCGUUAUUUGUUGUGGCAGAACAUUAUCCCACAAAUUAGUGACUUAAAACAACAAAUGUUUAUCACCUCAUGGUUUCUGCAGGUCAGAAACUUAGGUUUAGCUGGGAGCCUCAGACUCAGACCUAUCACGAGUCUGCAGUCAAGGUUGGGUAAGGCUGUAUCAUCUCUGAGUUCCAUUGAAAGAGCUUCUGCUUCCAUGCUCACUCAUGGCUGUUGGUGGCCUCAGUUCCUUACUUGAUGUUGACUGGAGACAUCAUUACCUGUUAAAUAGACUUUUCCACAGGGCAGCUCACAACACGGCAGCUGGCUUCACUUAGAGCCAUUGAGACAGCAGAAGAUAAUGUUGACCAAACCAGAAGUCAGAGCCUUCUGAAACUCCAACUGGCUAUAAAAGAAAACUCCAGUCAAAGGAUUGCUUUCCACUUAACAAGGGAAUCCAUGGAUCGGUAUCCUCGGGUUUGGUGGUCAACAGAAGAAAAAGAAAGGCCUUCACUUCCUUCUACCACCAGAAUUCAUGAUGAUGGGGCGAAAGCAAAGAUGCUGAUCUGAGUCAGGUUAAGUUGAUUUUGGAGAUUCAGCGGGUAGGAACUUGUGAUUUUCUUCGCACCCACAUCUUUCCUGAACUCUCAUCCAUCAGCUGCUGUCAACAGCAUACUGGCUGGAAGUUAAUUUCAGCCUCGCUGUUACUUCCUAAAAGCUAUCAAUUCUUCUGACACAAUAAUUACAUGACGGUGUGGCACCCAAGGUCAAGGCUCAUCAAUAUCCUAGAAUAUACACAAGGGGGGG
ensembl:lncRNA